AGGGGCAUAGCUCAGUUGGUAGAGCACUGGUCUCCAAAACCAGGUGUCGAGAGUUCGAGCCUUUCUACCCCUGCCA
rnacentral:tRNA from 1 species